GCAUGGCACACAUUGCUAUCACACGGAAAAGGGCAAAACAAAUUCCAUCUUGUUCUUUCUGCAGUAAAUAGUACAAUUUGGAGAGCUGGAGCUGGGAAACGGAGUGACACAACUCAUGAGUAGCUGUCAACAUGAUGAAUACUGACUUAGAAGUUACCUGUGGCUCCAAACUCAAUUCAAAAAAGUCAAGCACUCUUGUUGCUGCUCCUAAUGCAAGAUGGUCUCGUGCUACUCUGCCAAUCCCUAAAGCAGGAGGAAGAUAUUUCCAAAUAAAGUGCCAAAAGCAACUGCCAGGUCACCAGCAGCGCCUGC
rnacentral:lncRNA from 12 species